GAGGAUUGGGUUUGAGAAGAAUAGAUGUCGCUGAAGUCAUUGUCGGGACUUGGGGAAAGCUGUAAAAUUGUUCAUCAAUAAAACCAUUUACAUUAUAUAUUUUGAUGCACUUAGUGAUUUGUUUGGUCGUUGACGAACCUAACGGAUAAAUACGGAAAGAUUUGCAACAACGGUCGCCGGAAUCAGAUAUGAAAUCCAGUGAUUUUUGCCAGAGCUUUCAUCAUAGAAAAUAGAUCAAAUGCAAAACCAUGAGAAGUAGCUUGGAGUAAAGAAAAAAAAAAGGAUGAAUUAGAGAGAGAAGAGAUGAAGACAAGCGUUAGGAUAACAAAACAGAUACCCAAAACCGAAUCAAUUAGAAUUAGUGAUUAUGUAUUUCUUUGUUUUCUAAGUUAUACGGAUAUACAAAUUUCACUAAAAUGGACAUAUUCAAGGUUUUAAAAAGCACAGCUUACUUUACGCCUGCAAUGGUGUUAACUGUCUGAUAAUUUCCCAAGUAAAGAUCAUGAGUAGUUGAUUUUGGAGAAAAAACAUCUGUAGUCGUUAUUGUGAAUCCAAUGAGAAUUGUUAAUCCAAUUGUUUCGUGAUUGUUAUGAAACUCUGGUCAGGCUUUUUCAA